rnacentral:rRNA from 1 species
GACGAACGCUGGCGGCGUGCUUAACACAUGCAAGUCGAACGGAAAGGCCCUGCUUGCAGGGUACUCGAGUGGCGAACGGGUGAGUAACACGUGGGUGAUCUGCCCUGCACUUCGGGAUAAGCUUGGGUAACUGGGUCUAAUACCGGAUAGGAGCCAUCUUGAGUGUGGUGGUUGGAAAGUUUUUUCGGUGUAGGAUGAGCUCGCGGCCUAUCAGCUUGUUGGUGGGGUAAUGGCCUACCAAGGCGGCGACGGGUAGCCGGCCUGAGAGGGUGUACGGCCACAGUGGGACUGAGAUACGGCCCAGACUCCUACGGGAGGCAGCAGUGGGGAAUAUUGCACAAUGGGCGCAAGGCUGAUGCAGCGACGCCGCGUGGGGGAUGAAGGCCUUCGGGUUGUAAAUUCCUUUCGCUAGGGACGAAGCUUGUUUGUGACGGUACCUAGAGAAGAAGCACCGGCUAACUACGUG